UGUGGCAAUGGUGGAACAGCUUUGAAACACAGGAACACAGCACAUCAAAGUUCUAGAUUGUUUUAUCACUUGCAUGUUUGCAACUACUAUGUUUAAUUUACAGUUAGCAUUUGCCCCAGUCGUUGCCCUCUGUUGAUUCGGCCAUGGUACCGGACGGGGUGAAUGCAGACGAGCUUCACACAGUAACCUGGGAGAGACGGGAGAGGAAGCGGGGUCAGGAAACAUCAGCUGCAUCUUCUCCUGGGGACAGCAAGGCGGCCCCGGUGGCCAGGCAGCCGUGUUACCUGUCAGCGCCGAAAUUCCCGCAGCCGUAUCGGUCGCAGCCGCGGAUGCGGUUGGUGGGGUUCCCGCUGCAGAUCUGAGCCCAGUGCCGGUGCUGCUGUUGGGGCGGGUGUGCAUCCAGCUGCUUGCUGAAAACUUCACAUGGAAAAGAGGAAAAACAGGAAAAAUUCAACCAUGUUCUGAGUCCAGUGCAACAGAAAGUAUUCAGGGACACAAUGGGGUGUUUAAAGUGAAAGACAUGAGCUCCAAGGAGUUUGUCAUUUCAGAAACUGUAGUAUACAACCUGCUGUAUAGACUUGAUCCAUUUUUCCCUGAUGUCUUACCUUAAGGUAUAUAAACCAAAAAGAAAGCAAAGCUAUAGAUAAAGAUGUUUAAAAAUAGUUUGUGAAAUAAAUUAUUUUUACUUUCUAAUGGUGCUGGGUUGAUGGUUGGACUUCAUGAUCUUAGAGGUCUUUUCAAACCUUAAUGAUUUUAUGAUUCUUUCUGAAACCUCCAACUACUUCAAUAUAUGUCUCUUAAUGCACACCUAAUUCCAUAUUUUAUAAUAGUCAUAACUGUCCACAUUACCAUCAUUCCUCAUAAAACUAGAGGGAAAAAAACUCAGCAUUAUUUAUGUUCAAGUGAAUUUCAAUAAUUCAUUAUUGUCUGCCUAAACCCAGUCAAGCCCAGCUGCAUUACAGCAAUCUCAACUCACCAGUGGACACCAAGCUGACCAGAGUGACCAGACUGAAGGCUGCCAUUUUGGGGCCGUGUCACCCGUUCUUUGAUCCAGUCAAAGACGUUGAACAGCUGCCACCUGAGGUAUUUAUGUGCUUUUGAAAGCCCAAGUCUGUUGUCUUGGCCAAUCAGUCUCAAGCAAAGUAUUACAGCUCCAGGCAAGUGGUGUUGCCAUAUUGGGAACUGUGGUGGUCUGCAGGCUCUGGCAGUUGUUAAAGCUGGUUGGGAAAGAUGGAUAAAAUAAUUGGGCUCUUAAUAGCAAGAUAUGGAAAUGACCCCACAUUUCAGGAAACUCUGGUUGAGCUGUUUCUUAACACCUUUUCUUCCCCUUCCUGGAGUAAGGUCACAUUUAGGCCAAAAAUGGUAGGAACCACAAAUGUGGUUCAGAGGAUUGAGCUGAAGGGAAACGGUGGUCAAAGCUCCAGAGUGGAUGUCACCAAUUUGUCCUCUGCUGCUCAUUUCUCCCUGUGUGUUUGUGCCCACCAGAGCUUUGUGACCAAGAACACAGGAAAUGUUUGUCGUUAACGAGUAUUCACUUAUGUGAUGCUUUUGCAUUAAAACAUUUCUUUUUUCUGGUUGAGCUGAUAUUGUAAUUUAUUUCACUUAAAUCCAUGAAGUGUGUUCACUGAAACCCUGGGUUUUUAACAGAGCAAUACUUAUUAAAACAUCUUCAAGUUCUGAAACAACAGUUGCAAACCCAUGUUGCAUGGGUAAAACUGGCCUGGAGUUCAGUAAUUCUAGUUUUUAAAGUGAUGCCUUUAGUGCCUUCUUGGUUUCAGCUAUUGUACUAUAAAUAAUAAAUUAAUUGUACUUUG